rnacentral:rRNA from 1 species
GAUAUGGCUCAGGACGAACGCUGGCGGCGCGCCUAACACAUGCAAGUCGAACGAGCGAGAGAGAGCUUGCUUUCUCGAGCGAGUGGCGAACGGGUGAGUAACGCGUGAGGAACCUGCCUCAAAGAGGGGGACAACAGUUGGAAACGACUGCUAAUACCGCAUAAGCCCACGGUGCCGCAUGGCACAGAGGGAAAAGGAGCAAUCCGCUUUGAGAUGGCCUCGCGUCCGAUUAG